rnacentral:lncRNA from 1 species
CACACUGUAGGCAGACGCUUUACCAUCUGAGCCACCAGGGAAGUCCUUUAAGGCUUAGAAGAAAGUCCAAAAUAGGAUUAAGUGGUUUUUCGGUGGGGGUGGUGCUGGUGGCCUUUUUGCUAGGUCACGUACAAGGAGAAUAAAAGCAACGGGGUUGUUUUCAGGAAUAAGAAAACACGUCGACUAAUUUCAGGAAAGAUUCAAGGACCAGCCUGUUCUGUGCUCGAGCUUGGCAGAUCCGUGAAGGGAACAAAACAUUGCGCCACUGAGAGGAAAGACGGCCCAAGUAGGGGCAUCUCCAGUUGCUCCCUGGGACACUCUGAUGUCCGAAAGCGACAGGAGCCGGGUCCCGAUAGUGGGCAGAGCUCAGAUCAAAGGUGACAGCAGCAGGACGCCCUCGCGAGGGAGAAAAGUUGCAAGGGGUCAACUCUGAGUCUCGGCUCUGGGCAACGCUCCGCGAUCCAAGGCCGCGGCUGUCAGUCAGCACCCUCGGCCCCGCCCCUCCCAGAGCUGGACCAAUCGCAGCCGGGGGUCGGGGGUGAGGCGACGCAGCGGGGCCAGGAAGCCAGGGCCAGGCGGCCUGGUGCUGCGGCUCUUGAGCCGGUUGUCCCGGUCCCCGGCAGCUGGAGAGCGCACGGCGGGAGGCCAGACCUGGAUGGAGCCAUCUGUAAAGACAUGGAGU